UACGUAGGGGGCAAGCGUUGUCCGGAAUCAUUGGGCGUAAAGAGCGUGUAGGCGGCCCGAUAAGUCCGCUGUGAAAGUCCAGGGCUCAACUCUGGAAUGCCGGUGGAUACUGUCGGGCUCGAAUCCGGAAGAGGUGAGUGGAAUUCCUGGUGUAGCGGUGAAAUGCGCAGAUAUCAGGAGGAACACCAAUGGCGAAGGCAGCUCACUGGGACGGUAUUGACGCUGAGACGCGAAAGCGUGGGGAGCAAACAGG
rnacentral:rRNA from 1 species